AUGGCAUCCAUCUUGGUGAAGUGUGACAUCAAGGACACCGGAGGAUGGACCAGAAGACCUGAGACCAAGACGACCCAAGUCCAACCCAUAGUAUGCUUCACUGACAAGUGUUGAUGUUGAUGCUUCAUCAUCACAUAGACCAAAGGAGGCACUUAGAGGGAAUGCCUGAACCCUGAGAGGACUAAGACGAUAAUUGAGGCCACCCUGAAGCAGUUCCCAGGCCAGACACUCACUCCAGAUUGCUGGGCCAGGCAAGAAAUGCCAAAGUGAAAGAACUGAGGUUCCAUAACAAAAACAAAGAUUUUCAAUAAAAUAGAAUAAAAG